rnacentral:rRNA from 1 species
CCGACGGUGAGGGGCGAAAGCUGGGGGAGCAAACCGGAUUAGAUACCCGGGUAGUCCCAGCCGUAAACGAUGCGCGUUAGGUGUGUCAGUGACCACGUGUCACUGAUGUGCCGAAGGGAAACCGUGAAACGCGCCGCCUGGGGAGUACGGUCGCAAGGCUGAAACUUAAAGGAAUUGGCGGGGGAGCACCACAACGGGUGAAGCCUGCGGUUUAAUCGGACUCAACGCCGGAAAUCUCACCGGAUAA